ensembl:snRNA Gm23858 U6 spliceosomal RNA
AUUUACAUUUGGCAACACAUCUGCUAACAUUGGAAUGAUACAGUGAAGAUAAGCCUGGGUCCCGUGCAAGGAUGACAUAAAAACCCAAGAAACAACAAAGAACACA